CUUCCACUAUGCUCCACCUUUUAAAGGCACCAUCAUUUGAAAGAGUAGCUUUCUGUAGAACAGUCCUCCAACUCAUGGGCUUUGGGGGCUUGUAAAAUCCGAGAAUCGUGAAAACAGGAAUUAAACUCUGAUGUCCUGAAGUAUACAAAAGAAACAACAACAACAACAACAACAAAACCUCUCGAAAUUCUCUACUAUGCUACUAAAAAGUAGAUUAAUUUGCUGUUCGAUGCAUCUGCUUGGUGACUGAGUGAAGAUGUUAAACAUAACAGCCACAAUCUUACCCUUCCCUAAGUCUUGGAAUCUAAGUUGUCAUUUGCUCCAGGUCUUUCAAUGCCCUGGCAACGUAAACCCUAUAUUCUCCUGCAUAUAUGAUUCAAAAUAUUCUCAACAUAAAGUUGGGUGGUAAAAGAAAGAGGCUAUCAAGAAUAAAGUGGAAAAUCGGGGCA
rnacentral:lncRNA from 1 species